ACGUAGGGUGCAAGCGUUGUCCGGAAUUAUUGGGCGUAAAGAGCUCGUAGGCGGUUUGUCGCGUCUGCUGUGAAAUCUGGGGGCUCAACCCCCAGCCUGCAGUGGGUACGGGCAGACUAGAGUGCGGUAGGGGAGAUUGGAAUUCCUGGUGUAGCGGUGGAAUGCGCAGAUAUCAGGAGGAACACCGAUGGCGAAGGCAGCCCCCUGGGCUGACACUGACGCUCAGGCACGAAAGCGUGGGGAGCAAACAGGA
rnacentral:rRNA from 1 species